UACAGAGGUCCCAAGCGUUGUUCGGAUUCACUGGGCGUAAAGGGUGCGUAGGUGGCGAGGUAAGUCGGAUGUGAAAGCUCGGAGCUCAACUCCGAAAUGGCAUUGGAAACUACCUUGCUCGAGGAUUGGAGGGGGGACUGGAAUACUUGGUGUAGCAGUGAAAUGCGUAGAUAUCAAGUGGAACACCAGUGGCGAAGGCGGGUCCCUGGACAAUGCCUGACACUGAGGCGCGAAAGCUAGGGGAGCAAACAGG
rnacentral:rRNA from 1 species